rnacentral:lncRNA from 1 species
UGCGCUUGUAAGCUCUUAUUUUUUGCUUGAUUUCGAAAUAAUGUAUCAUGAUACAUAAAUAGCAUAUAAUCUUUUGGAAAAUGUUAUGGUACAUAAAUUAGAAAAUGGCCUAAAUUGGAAUGUUUUUCAUGACCUUUGACCUUGGUUUAACAGAAAAUGCAUUGUACAUUUUUUUUUAGGACUGGGCGAAACAGAAAGUACAGAUUAUUAGCUUUCGAAUGAUAUAUAAUACAGCCUUGUGUUAUGUGGUUGCAUUAAAGUCGUUAACUUAGGCGUCUUUUUGAAAUAAGUCACUGGCCUAUCAAGCAUAUAUAACAAACACAAGUGAUAAACAGAUAAAACUGGAAAAAAUUUAGGACUAUAAAGCUCUGCAAAAAUAAAACAUCUGAAGUUAUUUUUUCUGAACAGAAUAUAUAUUGAGCUUGACCUGUAAACUUGUCAUAAUCUAUUUAUAACUAUAAUAAGGGUUAGAUUUGGGUUUCCUCUUUCAUGUUACAUGAUGUGUAACCCCGCCGCAUUCUGUAUACCGUCUUUUGGUGUGUAUAAUUCGCACAUUUUUACCCUGGGGAUUGUUUCUUGUAAGAGGGGUGCGCUUUAUACAUGACUACAAACAUUUUCUUAGUCUUUUUUCAGCUCCAAACUCCGAUAAAGAAGUUUCCAAGUGAAGUGAAGAAUACGGAAUAUUUUCGCUAAAACCUCGACUGUUUUUAUGUUUUUCAUGUCAUUAUAUAUUUGUAACAUGUAUCGUAUUACUCUUGAUUUGUCACUUUUUAUUCAACUAAAAUAUAGUGUAUAUAUUUGAUGUUACAUUUAUCGUGUCAAUUUGUCCACCUGUUUUGCAAUCUGGAAAUUUGCUACCGAGGCGAACCAGAGGGGGGAUGGCGUAGAGGGUGUACGCCCCCGCUCCCUUUUGCUUGGACUUUUUUUUUUUGUAAACUGAUUGAUCAGACAAGACUUCGAAAACUUUGCCAUAUCCCGUGUAUUUAUUUUUUAUGUCACAAUUCAUUACUUAUAAUGAUAUUUUUUGCUUGUAGUUACUGAUUAUGUCAAACUCAUGUGAUGAUUCGCUAUUAUGGAGUUGAUCAGUUCGCCGUAAAAACGUCACUUAUUGCAGUCAUUUUGAAAUUCAAAUUACAGUAACACAUGGACAGUUCUACGGCAAUACUUGUUUCGCAA